CCAGUCUACCACUGAGAUCAUUAGGAGCCACCGUGACACAAACAACAAAAAUAAUCAGCCUUUUGUCAAAGCGACUCAGUAAGCUGAAUAGAUUCCCUUUUCGUAACAACAAGGUAGAUGUUUGCCAAUUUCUGAGGAACAAAUCUGCUUUUAGAAGUGUUUUACAGGAAUGAAAAUUAGAUUUUGCUAUUGAAAAAAAUAGGGCAACAGGUUGCCCUUCCCUUUUCAUACAAAUUGUACUUGUACCUCUGUCUGUAAGCCACCAAGAGCACAGUCUCAUUUUCUUUGGGUUUGUAAAGGCUGGGGAAACAGUAGGAAUAAGAAUAUCAAGCCUUAAAGUGUAAUUACAUCUGGGCCUUUCUGAUACAAUCUCUGUUUACUUUGUUAGACCACGCACAUGGAUCUCGGCUCUAGGCUGGUUGGAGUCCUUCUGAAGGUACUGACAUUGAAGGUGCUGAACGUUUCACAGACCUGCACCGGAAAGUCUGUUAAAAUGGAUAACGGUGCUUUACAUUCUGGGAUGAAGUAGCUGGGAUUCCCAAAUGGAAAUCAUGGAUAAGGUCUGCUCACCUUUACCGUGGUCUGACAUUGACAACCACGGUCCCAAAUCCCUCGGCAGCCGUGGAAGAGGCUGCUUGUGGUCUCCCAGCUGCCCUGCGGUGGGAUACGGCAGCAGCCCUGCGGUGGGAUACGGCAGCAGCCCGUGCUGCUCCAUCCAGACCGAGGGAAGACAACGCCACUGGGGCCUUGUCCAGCAGGUACAUUACAUCUCCUAGUAAGUAAGAGGUUGGCGAACUGAAGGAAACAGAUCUAGAGUUUGCCCACAGUCGUGCAGCACAAAAAUGACAGCAGAGAUAACGGAAAACUUCCAAGUCUUGACUCUCCUGGCAAACGGGGACUGUUGUCAACGCAAGGUACCAUGGCAAACCUUUCCUCCUCCAGCCUUCCUCAGCCACAAACAACUUUUCUACCAGUUCUGGUCCUCAUCCAGCUCUGAGAGUCAGUGACAAUAAUUCGAGCAUGCCAAGUGUCUGGCCUCAGCAGAUUUUCUUGUGAAAUAAAGAACGGGUUGUGACAUGGAAUUUUUUUCUGAAUUCUCUGAAUAUGCCUCCUGGAAAACAUGCUUUCU